ACCGCUUGGUACACCUUUUGAGGAAGAAAUAGGUGUAGGUGCUCACGAUAUGGAUUAUGUAGAAGCUCAGAAAAAUUACGGUAUAGAAGAAGAAAAUGAAGUAGAUGCGGUUAAUUUAGACGAAGAUAAUGAAAAUAUUGCUGAGACACCCGCAGUAGGAGAUGCUAACGUUAGAUCCGAAUCGGAUAAUCUCCCUUCCCGUCCUCCCAGUGCCCCAAGACCUCGUAAAAGAACUAGUGUUGCAUGGCAAUUUUUUGAACGUAUAUCAGAUAUUGAGGUUCAAUGUAAUAUUUGUCAACAAAUAUAUAAGCAUAGAAGUGGAGGCAAGCAAGGGGGUACGGGUACGUUAAUG
rnacentral:lncRNA from 1 species